AAGGCCGGGUGCCAGCGCCGCUGCCGCCCGCCCGGAGGGGUCCCCUCCCCGCAGGCCCGGGAAACCAGGUCAGGUGGGCAGGAUGUGCGCCGGGGCGCUCCCGGGCCAGCGCGGAGCCAGAGGAGGGCUCAGGCUGCUGCGGACCGUCAGCCGAGAGACUUGCUGGGCCCGGGAGAUUUCGCAGCAGAGUGACGAGCUGAUAAACACAACGUCAGAGGUGCGAGCGGCGGUCAGAGUGCUCAGGAGACAACAGAUGUCAGGAGAGAGCGAGAGGAACAACACGCCAGUGUAAUCAAAAGGGGGGAAUAGGUACAGCCAAGCACUGCCAAUCAUUCCAGCCUCUGUUCCCAGAAAAGUACUGAAGCAAAUAAUCACACAUCUUUAAGUACAUGAUAGCUAAUGAAGUGAUAAGUUACAGCCAACAUAGAUUUGUCAGAAAAAUCACAUCAAGCCAAACUCAUCCCAAGCUGUGACAGGAUAACAGCCCUUGGAUGUGAGUUGUGCUCGGUUGGUUAUGGCUUGACUUAAGUAAGGUUUUUUACACCAUCUCAGAGAAGUCUUAAUUGAGCAAGCAAAAGACAUAACAUAAUGAAAUGACUGCAGUGGUGCAAAAUCACAUCAGCAAUGUUUCACUGUGACAAAUAGCAGAACAGAAAAUACGGUUCCCUGGAGGAGGGUAUGUCCUGUGUGUGAUACCAAGUCUAAUUAAACGAGUGACAGAAUACAGUUUACAUGGAUUGGAUUUGCCAACAAUGCCAAACUGGCACAGUUUGGAAACAUGUUACAGCACAAGAAAAGAAUUCAAAACCUUCCUGAAAAAGUAGUUGCAGAAAUAUGAUGCAAUUGAAUAAAUACAAGUGCCAACGUCAACAUUUAAGCAGGAAAAUAACAAUUGCACAAUUGCAAGACUGGGAACAGAUGAAUAAACACCAGGUUUACAGAAAAGGGGCUGGGGAUCAGAGUAAAUCACAAACUGAACAUGCAUCAACAAUGUCACACCAUUGUGAAAAAGGCUGCAGUACAGAGAGAUGUGUAAACAGAACUGUCAUAUCUAGGACAAGGAAGAAUUCCUCAUCUUUAAUACUGGUGAAGUCUCAUCUGUAUGUUCAGAUUUGGCCUCUGCGUUUCAAGAAAAAUUUCUUCGAAAAAUUUCUUCAAAAGACUUCCAGUAGAAGACAGUACAAGGAAGGUGGAAAAUUUUCACCAUUUUAAAAGAUGUGACCCUAACUGAAAGUAGGAAUGUGUGAGAUUUUAGUCUAGAGAAUAAAAGACCAUAGGCAGAAAAACCCAUUGUUCACUGAGCCCACUGCAGACAAAUGUAACAGCUCUAACUGUACUGAGAAAAUUUCAGUUAGACAUAGGAAAAGUUCUGUUAUGAUACAGAUAAAUAAAACUGGCAUAUAUUCUCUACAGGAUGCUGGAAAUGUUAUUAGUAUGGUUUUUAAUAUUAAAUUAAAUACCUAUACGAAAAAUAAGAAGCAUUUGACUGCUGUGAAGUAAUGGAUGCACACUAGGUAAUAAUUGUUUUCAGCAUAAUUUUCUGUAGCUAUCCAGAUACCCAGAUAUCUGUUCUGGUCCUGUUUUUUUCUGACAAAAGUGAAUCCCAGAGGCAUUUAAACAUUUAAUGUGUUGUCAUGAUCUUAUGCACAGGUGUAGAUAUCCCCUUUGGGAGUUUUUGUCAUGUUACAAUCAGUAUAACUGUGUGGCAACAUAUGUCACAUGCUCAGCUAAUUUACUAAUUUAUAAACUUUAUAUAUCACUAUAAAUUCCACAUUUUAAAAUAAUGUGUGUGUUAGUGCCCAAAUAACCAUCUAUCACAGCUUUUACUUUUCUUUGCUUUUUCUCUAUGGUACCAGAGGCUAAUUUUCCCCAAAAUCCAUUAAAUUUAGGGGUUUCUCUGGAGCUUGCCAGUUAGGAGAAGGCAGUGUGAGUGGUUUAUGUUGUGGGACUGAGACCCACCAAACUCAACUCAUUAGAGAUGACUAAAAGGCCAUUAAAUAGGCCAAUUUUCGAUCUCCACUGAGUUAGACUGAAUUCAAACUGAUAGCCCACAGGCAAAAGGCUAUGAAUUUCAUUAACACUACCCCAAAGCAUUCAGUCCUCUAAUGAGUGCUAAUAUUAUUCUUCUGAGAAUUAAGCUUGUUUUCUGAAAAUAUACAUUUAUAAAAUUGAGUUCUGAUUAUUUUGGAGCUUGUAAGGAGUUUUUCCAUUGCUCUUAAACACAAGAAACAUUAUCAUCUUGUUCAAUCCACAGAUUCUUUCUAAGAUUCUUACAUCAUAUGUGCUCCAUGCUAACCAAAAUACAAACAAUAAAAAUGUGAAAAAACAAACAUUAAUGCUACCCCUAAGCUUCUUGCUGAGAAUCAUAUAUUUUAUUGCAUGCAAUAAUUUUAAGGUCAUCACACUUACUUAAAUAUAUUUUGUUUCAUAGAAGGCAAGAUUUAAGGAAUAACAAUUCAUGUUUUGAUUCUGCAAUUAAUAACUGAAGGAAAUAAUCAAAUUUCAUAAAAUUAUUAACUUAUAGAAAAUGCAGUGUUUUAUUAUAUUUCCAUUUAUUAUAUUACUAUUUAUGAACAAGUAAAAUGCUUAGCAUAAAAAACCUGAACUUCAGUUCUAAUGCUGCCAAAUCCCAUAAUUUAUCAAUAGUUUAACGACAUCUAGCAAUUUUUUAAUCUCUCAAUUUAAUACUUCAAGUAAGAGGCCCAAUUCCAUUAGCACUAGUGGACUCUUAAAAAUACUUAUGAUUCACAUAAUCUGUGGAUCAAAAGAAAAAUCCACAUUUGGUGUGAAUGAAUAGAGCACAUAAAUGCAAUAUUUCAUUAAAAUGGCAGUGUGGUAAAAGAUUAUGUCCAGUGGUGUCAGAAGUCUUCUGAUUCCUAAUUCCACUUCUGUUGCCAUUUAUAGUAUGUGAAAAGUAGUAGAUCAUCUUAUAGGUUGCCUGAUGGAUUAAGAAGACUUGAAAAAUAGACACAAAAUGACAUAAAAUUGGGAUUUCAUGUCUGCACAAAACAGAAACUUUAGGACCAGUGAAGCAUUCCAAUGUCAGUAAAAGAAAAUGUAUGGCCAGUAAAGAACCACACAAUAGGAUUCUUGAAAAUCAAGCCAGAUACUGCACAGCUGGCUUUUUGUUUGCAGAAUUCUGGCUGUGUCCUGUAUUAUUUCUCCACCAAUGCAGACAAGGCCUAAAUAAUGGUUAAAAUAGCAUUUGAAAAUCUCUUGAGAGAAUGGUGCUGCCUAGCUCCUCCUGGUCUUCAACAAGGCUAUAAAAAACUUUAACCAAGGCAGGUUCUUUCAAGUUAGCAGCAAAGUAUGAUUAACUGGAACCAAUUUAAAAACUGUUUCUUCAUAUAAACGUUUUUGUAGCUGAAGCUGCGAGGGAGACUUGGAACAGGUUUAAGCUGAAGCAUUUUGAAUGAAAGAAGACUGCAAAUGCCUCCUUGUAACACAUAGCAAAAUCCCAAAUGCCUGGAGGGAAAAACUUUUUAAUGAUAAUUUCUUACAUUUAUAUAGCACCUUUAAUUCCCUAGGACCCCAAGCACUUCAUUAACUCGAUGCAAAAAGCUUCACCAUGGAAAUACAGCCACUAUAUGCAUCAUUCCUUGAAAAUUUCAUAUUCAGUUGACACAUAUUCUGGUUAUCCUGUGUAUAGCAAACAAAACAACAACAGAUAAAAUAUUAAGCUAUCUAAUUUUGAGUUGUAGAACAAUUUAAGUCUCUAUGGUUUACAAAAUGCUCUCAUGUAAUGGAUACAUGGCAUUUAGCCCAUUUAUUUUCCUUCUCCAUUUACUAUUUCAAUCUCAUCUUUAUACCAAAGCCCUUGGUAGAAAGUCUUGUCUUCCAUAACAUUUUCAAAAUUGAAAUGAUUCCUGAUGUCUGAAUUUCAGAUAAAAAUGG